rnacentral:rRNA from 1 species
GACGAACGUUGGCGGCGUGCUUAACACAUGCAAGUCGAACGGUAAGGCUCCAGCUUGCUGGGGUACACGAGUGGCGAACGGGUGAGUAACACGUGGGUGACCUGCCCUGCACUUCGGGAUAAGCCUGGGAAACUGGGUCUAAUACCGGAUAGGACCGCACCGUGAGGGUGUGGUGGAAAGUUUUUUCGGUGUGGGAUGGGCCCGCGGCCUAUCAGCUUGUUGGUGGGGUAAUGGCCUACCAAGGCGGCGACGGGUAGCCGGCCUGAGAGGGUGGACGGCCACAUUGGGACUGAGACACGGCCCAGACUCCUACGGGAGGCAGCAGUGGGGAAUAUUGCACAAUGGGCGGAAGCCUGAUGCAGCGACGCCGCGUGGGGGAUGACGGCCUUCGGGUUGUAUACUCCUUUCACCAUCGACGAAGGGUUUCUGACGGUAGAUGGAGAAGAAGCACCGGCUAACUACGUGCCAGCAGCCGCGGUAAUACGUAGGGUGCGAGCGUUGUCCGGAAUUACUGGGCGUAAAGAGCUCGUAGGUGGUUUGUCGCGUCGUCUGUGAAAUUCCGGGGCUUAACUCCGGGCGUGCAGGCGAUACGGGCAUAACUUGAGUACUGUAGGGGAGACUGGAAUUCCUGGUGUAGCGGUGAAAUGCGCAGAUAUCAGGAGGAACACCGGUGGCGAAGGCGGGUCUCUGGGCAGUAACUGACGCUGAGGAGCGAAAGCAUGGGGAGCGAACAGGAUUAGAUACCCUGGUAGUCCAUGCCGUAAACGGUGGGCGCUAGGUGUGGGUUUCCUUCCACGGGAUCCGUGCCGUAGCUAACGCAUUAAGCGCCCCGCCUGGGGAGUACGGCCGCAAGGCUAAAACUCAAAGGAAUUGACGGGGGCCCGCACAAGCGGCGGAGCAUGUGGAUUAAUUCGAUGCAACGCGAAGAACCUUACCUGGGCUUGACAUAUACAGGAUCGCGCCAGAGAUGGUGUUUCCCUUGUGGCUUGUAUACAGGUGGUGCAUGGUUGUCGUCAGCUCGUGUCGUGAGAUGUUGGGUUAAGUCCCGCAACGAGCGCAACCCUUGUCUUAUGUUGCCAGCACGUUGUGGUGGGGACUCGUAAGAAACUGCCGGGGUUAACUCGGAGGAAGGUGGGGAUGACGUCAAAUCAUCAUGCCCCUUAUGUCCAGGGCUUCACACAUGCUACAAUGGUCGGUACAGUGGGUUGCCAGUCCGUGAGGGCGAGCUAAUCCCGCAAAGCCGGUCUCAGUUCGGAUCGGGGUCUGCAACUCGACCCCGUGAAGUCGGAGUCGCUAGUAAUCGCAGAUCAGCAACGCUGCGGUGAAUACGUUCCCGGGCCU